UACAGAGGCCCCGAGCGUUAGUCGGAAUCACUGGGCUUAAAGGGUGCGUAGGCGGACUGGUAAGUGUUCUGUGAAAGCCCCCGGCUCAACCGGGGAACCGCAGGGCAUACUGCCAGUCUUGAGGAAGCUAGAGGCCGGCGGAACGAUAGGUGGAGCGGUGGAAUGCGUAGAGAUCUAUCGGAACGCCAAUGGUGAAGACAGCCGGCUGGGGCUUUCCUGACGCUGAGGCACGAAAGCGUGGGGAGCAAACAGG
rnacentral:rRNA from 1 species